rnacentral:rRNA from 1 species
UACGUAGGGUGCAAGCGUUAAUCGGAAUUACUGGGCGUAAAGCGUGCGCAGGCGGCUUUGGAAGACAGAUGUGAAAUCCCCGGGCUUAACCUGGGAACUGCAUUUGUGACUGCAUCGCUGGAGUGCGGCAGAGGGGGAUGGAAUUCCGCGUGUAGCAGUGAAAUGCGUAGAUAUGCGGAGGAACACCGAUGGCGAAGGCCAUCCCCUGGGCCUGCACUUGCGCUCAUGCCCGGAAGCGUGGGGAGCAAACAGG